rnacentral:rRNA from 1 species
CCUACGGGUGGCAGCAGUGGGGAAUAUUGGACAAUGGGGGCAACCCUGAUCCAGCCAUGCCGCGUGUGUGAAGAAGGCCCUCGGGUUGUAAAGCACUUUCAGUGAGGAAGAACGCCUGGUGGUUAAUACCCAUCAGGAAAGACAUCACUCACAGAAGAAGCACCGGCUAACUCCGUGCCAGCAGCCGCGGUAAUACGGAGGGUGCGAGCGUUAAUCGGAAUUACUGGGCGUAAAGCGCGCGUAGGUGGCUUGAUAAGCCGGUUGUGAAAGCCCCGGGCUCAACCUGGGAACGGCAUCCGGAACUGUCAGGCUAGAGUGCAGGAGAGGAAGGUAGAAUUCCCGGUGUAGCGGUGAAAUGCGUAGAGAUCGGGAGGAAUACCAGUGGCGAAGGCGGCCUUCUGGACUGACACUGACACUGAGGUGCGAAAGCGUGGGUAGCAAACAGGAUUAGAUACCCCAGUAGUC